AAGAAAAUUUUGCGAAUAACACAUGUUGUAUCUUCAAAUAAAUUUCCUUUUUUAAUAUUUUUGAGGUACAAGCAUACAGCUAUAAAUAAAUUUAAUACUUUUAAAUAAAGGAAAGUUACGUAUUUAAAUUUACCGAUAUAAUUACAUCACUCGUAAUGUCUGUUCAGUUAUGAGUAAAAAAUUUAGAAAAAAUUCUAAAUGUAUGAAAG